rnacentral:rRNA from 1 species
GAUGAACGCUAGCUACAGGCUUAACACAUGCAAGUCGAGGGACCGGCGCACGGGUGAGUAACACGUAUCCAACCUGCCCUUUACUCGGGGAUAGCCUGUCGAUAGAAAGAUUAAUACCCUAUAUAAAGGAUGGGGAUGCGUUCCAUUAGGUUGUUGGUGAGGUAACGGCCAACCAAGCCUUCGAUGGAUAGGGGUUCUGAGGAGAAGGCACCCUGAAUUGGAACUGAGAUCCGGUCCACACUCCUACGGGAGGCAGAAGUGAGGAAUAUAGUUAAAUGGGCGGUAGCCCGAACCAGCCAAGUAGCGGGAAGGAUGAAGGCUUAUGGGUCGUCAACUUCUUGUAUAUAAGAAUAUGUAUUAUAUGAAUAAGGAUCGGCUAACUCCGUGCCAGCAGCCGCGGUAAUAC